GUGAAAUGAAACCUAAGAACUCAGAGGAUACUUGGAGUGGAAGUGGGUCUUUGAAUGUCUCCCUCCAGAGCGGAUGCUGCAGGUGGGUCCGUGGCUCCAGGGCAGUGCAGAAAUUUCCAGGUAAACAUGAAUCAAAAGAAAUCCCUAAGGAACCAAAUAAGAAAUCUCCCAAAGCAAGAUGUUCCGUGUCCAAUUAUUAUUGUGGGAUCUACAGUAAUAAAUUCCUCUAAUAACGGGUUCUCCAAAGCCCUGGCAAGUUAAUAACAUUGCAGUAUAAUGCCGUGUGUUCUUAGAAGGUAUUUUACACAAGAACAACAUGCAGGUUUCUUUCUCUCCCUUGGCAUUCUGCAGUCUCUUUUAUUAUAUUUGUCACUUGGUUUAAAAACUAAAUUUAGAAAUGAAAAUUCAACACCUGCUUCAGCCUAGUUCUUGACAAUUAGCUCUGUUCCGUCGCUUGGAACUUCUGCAGGGAUAGCAGAAUCCCUUUGCAGUCCUGUGUUUUAUUUCCUCAAACUGAUGCCUCCUAGUGGCAACACCAAAGCCCAGAUGUUGACAUGACCUUUAACCUUUCACCUGGCAAAGUUAGGGUUUUUUUUUAAUCAAUAGAACUGAAAAAUUCAUCCAACUACUUUACUGUCUAUCUUUUAGGCUAUACUAUGUAUCCUUAUUUCGGAGAGGGCAAUGGCACCCCACUCCAGUACUCUUGCCUGGAAAAUC
rnacentral:lncRNA from 1 species